GAUGAAGAACGUAGCGAAAUGCGAUAAGUAAUGUGAAUUGCAGAAUUCAGUGAAUCAUCGAAUCUUUGAACGCACAUUGCGCCCCCCAGUAUUCUGGCGGGCAUGCCUGUUCGGGCGUCAUUUCAACCAUCAAGCCCUGCUUGUGUUGGGGUCCUGCGGCUGCCCGCAGGCCCUGAAAACCAGUGGCGGGCUCGCUAGUCACACCGAGCGCAGUAGCACAUCUCGCUCAGGGCGUGCGGCGGGCUCCAGCCGUUAAAGCACCCACCUUUCGCAAGGUUGACCUCGGAUCAGGUAGGAAUACCCGCUGAACUUAAGCAUAUCAAUAAGCGGAGGA
rnacentral:misc_RNA from 1 species